rfam:Hepatitis C virus isolate QC115, complete genome
GUCCGUCGCCCACAGAACGUUAAGUUCCCGGGCGGAGGACAGAUCGUUGGUGGAGUUUACGUGCUGCCUCGCAGGGGCCCAACAUUGGGUGUGCGAGCGGUACGCAAGACUUCCGAGCGGUCACAGCCCCGUGGUA